rnacentral:rRNA from 1 species
CGGGGUGAGUAACGCGUGGAUAACCUGCCUCACACUGGGGGAUAACAGUUAGAAAUGACUGCUAAUACCGCAUAAGCGCACAGUACCGCAUGGUACGGUGUGAAAAACUCCGGUGGUGUGAGAUGGAUCCGCGUCUGAUUAGCCAGUUGGCGGGGUAACGGCCCACCAAAGCGACGAUCAGUAGCCGACCUGAGAGGGUGACCGGCCACAUUGGGACUGAGACACGGCCCAA